rnacentral:rRNA from 1 species
UACGUAGGAUGCAAGCGUUAUUCGGAUUUACUGGGCGUAAAGAGGGCGUAGGCGGUCUUUCAAGUCGGAUGUGAAAUCUCACGGCUUAACCGGGAGAGGUCAUCCGAUACUGAUAGGCUAGAGGACAGCAGGAGAAAGUGGAAUUCCCGGUGUAGUGGUGAUAUGCGUAGAUAUCGGGAGGAACACCAGUGGCGAAGGCGGCUUUCUAGGUUGUUCUGACGCUGAGGUCCGAAAGUGUGGGUAGCGAACAGGAUUAGAUACCCUUGUA